UGCAUCGGCCGGAGAUCGAACCCGGACCACCUGUGUGGUAGGUGAGCAUUCUACCACUGAUCCACCGAGGC
rnacentral:tRNA from 1 species